rnacentral:lncRNA from 1 species
CAACAGACAGAGCAGAUUGAGGGUUAAGCAUAUCCAGAACUAUUGCAUCAAAUGUUAAAGAUUUCAUAUCCUCAGCAGCUCUUGAGAUGUCUUUAAGAACAAAAUCCACAUUAUCUGGCCACUCUUCCGUGUGUCCUUUUUUCCACGUAGUGCGCCAAUGCCUGUAAUUCUUCUUUGCUAAGUUGUGAUGGUCAUCUCUGAUUUCGUAACUGAUAACACGUCCCUUGGGCCCAACUUCAAACAACAACAACAAAGUACUAGAUGUACU